rnacentral:lncRNA from 1 species
CUUGUCCCACCUGGGCCCUUAAUACCUCUUAUUUAUUUCCGGUUUCAACCCACUGAUUCUAGCCCGAUUCCAGUUUCAUCCUUGGUUCUGUAAAUUUUUAUUUUUGAUUUUUUUUCUUUUAAAUUGUUUUUGUCUAUUAUUAUUAGUUUUUCUUAUUUUUUUUAUUUCCUCUUUAUUUGAUUCUUAAACUGUGUAGCUAUAUUUUUUUUUCUCUUUCUAUAUCUAUAUUAUUCCAUUUAACAUGCAAUACCCUAUUUUGGCCAGGGUCUCAAAGGCCCAAACUAUAAUGGGCCUAUAGGGCCCAAACCCCAAAACAGCACAAGAGCCCAACGUUUCCAGCACAGAGGAAACCUUAGGGAUCCUUCCAUGUUUGCACCGCAGCCCUGCACGAUCUUCACCUACACCAAAGAAAGGAAACACGGCAAAUAAACCACAAAAAUGGAAAGAAAAUCAAGAUUGCGAAUCAAAUAGAUAUUAAGCAGAUUUGUUUCUUUAUUUUUUUUAUUAAGGUUAUAAAAGGACCAUUGAAAUACUAUAAUAAAAAAAAAAAGAAAAAUCAAUAAAAAGAAGAGCGAAUAUUUCACAACACAAAUACAGAAUACCAAAAAGAG